UGCCCAUCAACUCCUAUCCCUACCUCCACGCGUUAUCGGCCGGAAACUAUGAGCAACCUUAGGGAAGAUCGGGUAACCAACCCCGGUGGGAACUUUGGUCGUAGGCUGACAGGGAAGG
rnacentral:ribozyme from 1 species